rnacentral:lncRNA from 1 species
AUGUCCCUGCAAAUACUAUCAGUCUGAUGCAGACAUAAUUCCAGUACCUCCAACUCUUCAGGUGCUCACACCACAUACUCAAAAUCUAGCAUUAGAAAUUCAAUUGACUCAAUUCAAUAACUUCAACACAGGUCAUGAAGAAAGUGUUAAUCAAUUAAAAAUAUUAACUGAUUUUGCUGCACUUUGCGAGGCUGAGGCCAGCAGAUUGCCUGAGGUCAGGAGUUCAGGACUAGUCUAGCCAACAUGGUGAAACCCCAUCUCUACUACAAAUACAAAAAAAUUAGCGGGAGGCAUAGGCAACACAGCGAGACCCUGUCUCCAAAAAAAAAAAAAAAAAAUUUCUCGGGGUGAACAUUUUCAACAAUUAUCAGAAUGAUUUACCCUGGAACUAUAUGAACCUACAUACCCUACAUACACUAAGUAAUCCCAAUAUGCUUGUUUCCCCGAAUCAUCCAUUCUUUUCAGUAGCAUAAUGCUUAAUCAGUACCUAUCCAUUCCCCUGAUCUGUGAUUUCAAAAAAACCCAGACAACUCAAUGAAUUACAACUAUAUGUUAAAUAAUAACAAGGAACCGUUAAUAAAAGCCUGAAAACUAACCUAUGAGCAAAGUUUACACUCCAUUUGUCUGCAGAUAUUAGCUGCUCAGGAGCACUUCUGGUUUACUGUCAAUUACCAGCCAAUUCCAAUAAGGUGAGAUUCCAAAUAACGCAAUUCCACAUUGAUGCAUAGCUGUUAUUCUUCGCGAAAACUAAAUUAGAAACACAAUUUAGUUCUAGUUUCACUGUGUUGGCCAGGCUGGUCUCAAAAUCCUGACCUUGUGAUCUUCCCACCUCAGCCUCCCAAAGUGCUGGGAUUACAGGCGUGAACCACCACAUGUGGCCGAACUAAAUUGUGUUUCUAAAUCUUACACCACAUCAAAUGCAUUACAGACACAAGUAUAUUGGAAUAAUUUACUAAAAAUGUCCAUUAUGUACUGAGUAUUAGCUCAUUUAAAAAAAUAGAAAACUCAAUAACGUAAAAUGGAAUAUUCCUUUUUUAUAUAAAUUUAAAGGCAGAAAAUCUCAGGGAAAACAAACUGUUCUUUACUCAGUUUUUCCUUGCUGUUCUAUUCACACAGGUUUUUAUAUAAAUAUACAUUUAUACAUUACACUCAACAAAUUUCAAAAGCAAUUUGAUUUGUAUAACCAAGGAUGAUUUGUAUAACUCAAGAUAAAAUGCCAAGAGUGCAACCUCCGCUUUAAUGAAAAUGCUCGUCUUCUGAACAAUGAAAAUGCUUUUAUUCUUGAAAUCGGGGAA